UGGGGAAUCUUGCACAAUGGGGGAAACCCUGAUGCAGCGACGCCGCGUGAGCGAUGAAGCCCUUCGGGGUGUAAAGCUCUUUCGGCAGGGAAGAUUAUGACGGUACCUGCAGAAGCAGCUGCGGCUAACUACGUGCCAGCAGCCGCGGUAAUACGUAGGCAGCAAGCGUUGUUCGGAGUUACUGGGCGUAAAGGGUGUGUAGGCGGUUGGAUAAGAGUGGUGUGAAAUCUCCCGGCUUAACUGGGAGGGUGCGCUACAGACUGUCUGACUAGAGUGUGGGAUGGGAGAGUGGAAUUCCUGGUGUAGCGGUGAAAUGCGUAGAUAUCAGGAGGAACACCGGUGGUGUAGACGGCUCUCUGGACCAUAACUGACGCUGGGACACGAAAGCGUGGGUAGCAAACAGGAUUAGAUACCCUGGUAGUCCACGCCCUAAACGAUGCAUAUUUGGUGUGGGUCAUUCAUUUGAUCCGUGCCGGAGCUAACGCGUUAAAUAUGCCGCCUGGGGAGUACAGUCGCAAGGCUGA
rnacentral:rRNA from 1 species